rnacentral:rRNA from 1 species
CGGACGGGUGAGUAACGCGUGAGAAUCUGCCCUCAGGAGGGGGAUAACGGCUGGAAACGGCCGCUAAUACCCCAUAUGCCGAGAGGUGAAACGAAUUUCGCCUGAGGAUGAGCCCGCGUCUGAUUAGCUAGUUGGUGGGGUAAGAGCCUACCAAGGCGACGAUCAGUAGCUGGUCUGAGAGGAUGAUCAGCCACACUGGGACUGAGACACGGCCCAGACUCCUACGGGAGGCAGCAGUGGGGAAUUUUCCGCAAUGGGCGCAAGCCUGACGGAGCAACGCCGCGUGAGGGACGAAGGCCUCUGGGCUGUAAACCUCUUUUCUCAAGGAAGAAGAUCUGACAGUACUUGAGGAAUAAGCCACGGCUAAUUCCGUGCCAGCAGCCGCGGUAAUACGGGAGUGGCAAGCGUUAUCCGGAAUUAUUGGGCGUAAAGCGUCCGCAGGCGGCUUUGUAAGUCUGCUGUCAAAGCGUGGAGCUUAACUCCAUUUCGGCAGUGGAAACUACGAGGCUUGAGUGUGGUAGGGGCAGAGGGAAUUCCCGGUGUAGCGGUGAAAUGCGUGGAUAUCGGGAAGAACACCAGUGGCGAAGGCGCUCUGCUGGGCCAUAACUGACGCUCAUGGACGAAAGCCAGGGGAGCGAAAGGGAUUAGAUACCCCUGUAGUC